CCUACGGGCGGCAGCAGUGGGGAAUAUUGCGCAAUGGGCGAAAGCCUGACGCAGCGACGCCGCGUGAGGGAUGAAGGUCUUCGGAUCGUAAACCUCUGUCAGCAGGGAAGAACGGUCACUGUGCUAAUCAGCAGUGAAUUGACGGUACCUGCAAAGGAAGCACCGGCUAACUCCGUGCCAGCAGCCGCGGUAAUACGGAGGGUGCGAGCGUUAAUCGGAAUUACUGGGCGUAAAGCGCUCGUAGGCGGUAUGUCAAGUCAAGGGUGAAAUCCCCGCGCUCAACGUGGGAACUGCCUUUGAAACUGGCAAACUGGAGUGUGUGAGAGGGUAGUGGAAUUCCAGGUGUAGGAGUGAAAUGCGUAGAUAUCUGGAGGAACAUCAGUGGCGAAGGCGACUAUCUGGCACAUAACUGACGCUGAGGAGCGAAAGCGUGGGUAGCAAACAGGAUUAGAUACCCGGGUAGUC
rnacentral:rRNA from 1 species